rnacentral:misc_RNA from 1 species
UGAUUUAUUUUUUAAUGUUUAUAUUAUUUGAAUAGUUUCUAUUCAAAUAAUAUAAAAAAUAAUAUAUAUAUUGACAUGGAUUAAACAAAGAUAUAUAUUAUUCUAUGUUGUAUAAACAAAUUGGCAAAAUAGAGAUGGAAGAUAAAAAUAUGGUCAAAGUAAUAAGAGUCUAUGGUGAAUGCCUAGGAGCUUUAAGGCGAAGAAGGUCGUGGUAAGCUGCGAAAAGCUUGGGGG